GUCNACGGGUANCCGGCCUGAGAGGGUGGACGGCCACAUUGGGACUGAGACACGGCCCAGACUCCUACGGGAGGCAGCAGUGGGGAAUAUUGCACAAUGGGCGCAAGCCUGAUGCAGCGACGCCGCGUGGGGGAUGAAGGCCUUCGGGUUGUAAACUCCUUUCAACCANGACGAAGCNUUAUGUGNCGGNAGUGGUAGAANAAGCACCGGCUAACUACNUGCCAGCAGCCGCNGUAAUACAACAA
rnacentral:rRNA from 1 species